rnacentral:rRNA from 1 species
CCUACGGGUGGCAGCAGUCGAGAAUCAUUCACAAUGGGGGAAACCCUGAUGGUGCGACGCCGCGUGGGGGAAUGAAGGUCUUCGGAUUGUAAACCCCUGUCAUGUGGGAGCAAAUUAAAAAGAUAGUACCACAGGAGGAAGAGACGGCUAACUCUGUGCCAGCAGCCGCGGUAAUACAGAGGUCUCAAGCGUUGUUCGGAAUCACUGGGCGUAACGCGUGCGUAGGCUGUUUCGUAAGUCGUGUGUGAAAGGCGCGGGCUCAACCCGCGGACGGCACAUGAUACUGCGAGACUAGAGUAAUGGAGGGGGAACCGGAAUUCUCGGUGUAGCAGUGAAAUGCGUAGAUAUCGAGAGGAACACUCGUGGCGAAGGCGGGUUCCUGGACAUUAACUGACGCUGAGGCACGAAGGCCAGGGGAGCGAAAGGGAUUAGAUACCCGAGUAGUC